CAUGGUAGCAACACAACAUGACAACAACAUGGUAGCAGCACAAAACAUGGUACAAACAUUAUUUGGCCCAGACAACAGCACAAAGACAAGAAGGUAGAGACAAAAAUACAUCAGGUGAACCAGCCACCAACUGUCAGUAAGAGUGUCCUUUCACCUUUAUUUAACCAGUUGAGAAAAGCAGUGCAACAGCAACAACAACAACAACAACAACAACACAGAGUUACACAAAUGUACAAAUGUACAGUCAAUAACACAAUAGAAAAUAAAAACCAAAGAUCUAUGUACAGUGUGUGAAAAUGUAGAAGAGUAGGGAGGUAAGGCAAUACAUAAUAGUACAAAUAAUUACAAUUUAGCAUGAAUACUGAAUGAAGAGAUGGAGAUAAAACUGUCCAGUUUGAAGCUCGUUACAGUCGCUAUCUGCAGCGAACUGAAUAGAGGAGAGACCCAGGGAUGUGUGUGCUUUGGGGACCUUUAACAGAAUGUGACUGGCAGAACGGGUGUUGUAUGUUUAUUUUUUUUAUUUUACCAUUAUUUAACCAGGCAAGUCAGUUAAGGAACAGAUUCUUAUUUUCAAUGACGGCCUAGGAACAGUGGGGUUAACUGCCUGUUCAGGGGCAGGAUGACAGAUUUGUACCUUGUCAGCUCGGGGAUAUCAACUUGCAACCUUUCGGUUACUAGUCCAAUGCUCUAACCACUAGGCUACCCAUAGAGACACCAAUGAUGACGGCUGCAGUAGGUAUCUCAGAUAGGGGGGAGUGAGGCCUAAGAGGGUUUUAUAAAUAAGCAUCAACCAGUGGGUCUUGCGACGGGUAUACAGAAAUGACCAGUUUACAGAGGAGUAUAGAGUGCAGUGAUGUGUCCUAUAAGGAGCAUUGGUGGAAAAUCUAAUGGCCGAAUGGUAAAGAACAUCUAGUCGCUCGAGAGCACCCUUACCUGCCGAUCUAUAAAUGACGUCUCCGUAAUUUAGCAUGUGUAGGUUGGUCAUCUGAAUCAGGGUUAAUCAGAUCUCCCGAGUGGCGCAGCCGUUUAAGGCACUGCAUCUCAGUGCUAGAGGUGUCACUACAGACCUUGGUUCGAUUCCAGGCUGUAUCACAACUGGCCCAGCAUCGUCCAGGUUAAGGUUUGGCCGGGGUAGGCCAUCACUGUAAAUAAGAAUUUGUUCUUAGCUGACUUGCCUAGUUAAAUAAAGGUUAAAUAAAAAAUAUAAAAAUAGUUUGGCAGCUGGGGUGAAAGGAGCAAUUGUGAUAGAGGAAACCAAGUCCAGAUUUAACUUUAGCCUGCAGCUUUUAUAUGUGCUGAGAGAAGGACAGUGUACCUUCUACCCAAACUCCCCAGUACUUGUAUGAGGUGACUACCUCAAGCUCUAAACCCUCAGAGGUAGUAAUAACACCGGUGGGGAGAGGGGCAUUCUUCUUACCAAACCACAUGACCUUUGUUUUGGAGGUGUUCAGAACAAGGUUAAGGGCAGAGAAAGCUUGUUGGAAACUAAGAAAGACUUGUUGUAUAGUGUUUAACACACAAUCCUGGGAGGGGCCAGCUGAGUAUAAGACUGUAUCAUCUGAAUAUAAAUGGAGGAGAGAGCAUCCUACUGCUCAGAUGUUGAUGUAAAUUGAGAAGAGCGUGGGGUCUAGGAUCGAGCCUUGGGGUACUCCCUUACUGAGAGGCAGAGGCUGAGGCUUCAGAUGUUCUGACUUUAUACACUGCACUCUUUGAGUUGGUUAGCAGGUUAACCAGGCCAAAGAUCCCUCAGAGACAUCAAUACUCCUUAGAGACACCAAUAGUCCUUAGCCGGCCCACAAGAAUGGAGUGAUUUACUACCGUGGUUCCCAAACAUUCAACCUCGAGCUGUGUACCCCCUCUAGCACCAGGGUCAUGAAGCGUGGUAUGUGUUCAUGAUGAUAUUUUAAUUAAAGAAAGCACUGAACACUGAAUACAAAACAAUAAACGACCGUGAAGCUAUAAGAACUGUGCUGACACAAGCAACUAACAUAGACAAUCACCCACAAUGACAAAACAGGCUACCUAAAUAUGGUUCCCAAUCAGAGACAACGACAAACACCUGCCUCUGAUUGAGAACCAUAUCAGGCCAAACACAGAAACAGACAAACUAGACAUACAACAUAGAAUGUCCACUCAGAUCACACCCUGACCAAACAAAACAUAGAAACAUACAAAGCAAACUAUGGUCAGGGCGUGACAACCAGGGUCAGCUGUACCCCCUCUAGCUCCAGGGUCAGCUGUACCCCCUCUAGCCCCAGGGUCAGCGCAAUCUCUAAUGUUGUUUCUUGCCAUCAUUGUAAGCCUGCCACACACACACUUUACGAUACAUUUAUUAAACAGAAGAAUGAGUGUGAGUUUUUGUCACAACCCGGCUCGUGGGAAGUGACAAAGAGCUCUUAUAGGACCAGGGCACAAAUAAUAAUAUAAUAAUAAUAAUCAAUCAUUUUGCUCUUUAUUUAACCAGCUUACAUAUAAAACCUUAUUUGUUCAUCUAAAAUAGUGAAUAACUCACCACAGGUUAAUGAGAAGGGUGUGUUUGAAAGGAUGCACAUAACUCUGCAGUGUUGGGUUAUAUUGGAGAGAGUCUCAGUCUUAAAUCAUUUCUACACACAGUCUGUGCCUGUAUUUAGUUUUCAUGCCAGUGAGGGCCGAGAAUCCACUCUCACAUAGGUACGUGGUUGUAAAGGUCAUCGGUGUCUUAACAGCGCGAUUUGCCAAGGCAGGAUACUCUGAGCGGCAGCCCUAUCCAGAAAUCUGGCAGUGGCUUCUGAUUAAAUUACAUUUUCACAGAACCCCUUGUUGCAAUUUCGAUGAGGCUCUCUUGUUCAGAUAUCGGUAAGUGGACUGGAGGCAGGGCAUGAAAGGGAUAACGAAUCCAGUUGUUCGAGUCAUCCGUUUCGGGAAAGUACCUGCGUAAUUGCUCACCCAAGUCACUCAGGUGCUUCACAAUGCUAAUCACAUUAGCCUGCGUUAGCUCAACCGUCCCGUGGGAAGGGACACCGAUCAGGGGAUGGAUAUGGGGUUAGGUCUCUACUUGGCACUAAGGGGAUGGAUAUGGGGUUAGGUCUCCACUUGGCACUAAGGGGAUGGAUAUGGGUUAAGGUCUCUACUUGGCACUAAGGGGAUGGAUAUGGGUUAAGGUCUCUACUUGGCACUAAGGGGAUGGAUAUGGGUUAAGGUCUCUACUUGACACUAAGGGGAUGGAUAUGGGGUAAGGUCUCUACUUGGCACUAAGGGGAUGGUUAAGGUCUCUACUUGGCACUAAGGGGAUGGAUAUGGGUUAAGGUCUCUACUUGGCACUAAGGGGAUGGUUAAGGUCUCUACUUGGCACUAAGGGGAUGGUUAAGGUCUCUACUUGGCACUAAGGGGAUGGUUAAGGUCUCUACUUGGCACUAAGGGGAUGGUUAAGGUCUCUACUUGGCACUAAGGGGAUGGUUAAGGUCUCUACUUGGCACUAAGGGGAUGGAUAUGGGGUAAGGUCUCUACUUGGCACUAAGGGGAUGGUUAAGGUCUCUACUUGGCACUAAGGGGAUGGUUAAGGUC